rnacentral:rRNA from 1 species
UACGGAGGGUGCAAGCAUUAAUCGGAUUUAUUGGGCGUAAAGGGCGCGUAGGCUGAAUUGUAAGUCAGAUGUGAAAUCCCUGGGCUCAACCCAGGAACUGCAUUUGAAACUACAUUUCUAGAGGGUAGGCGGAGAAAAUGGAAUUCCACAUGUAGCGGUGAAAUGCGUAGAUAUGUGGAGGAACACCAGUGGCGAAGGCGGUUUUCUAGCUUACUCCUGACGCUGAGGCGCGAAAGCAAGGGGAUCAAACAGG